UAGUCCACGCCCUAAACUAUGUUCACUCGAUAUUGGCGAUAUACUGUCAGUGUCCAAGCGAAAGCGUUAAGUGAACCACCUGGGGAGUACGUUCGCAAGAAUGAAACUCAAAGGAAUUGACGGGGGUCCGCACAAGCGGAGGAGCAUGUGGUUUAAUUCGAUGAUACGCGAGGAACCUUACCUGGGCUCUAAUGUUAUUUGACCGUUCCUGAAAGGGAAUUUCUCUUCGGAGCAGAUAACAGGGUGCUGCAUGGUUGUCGUCAGCUCGUGCCGUGAGGUGUUGGGUUAAGUCCCGCAACGAGCGCAACCCCUAUCCUUAGUUGCCAGCGAGUAAUGUCGGGGACUCUAAGGAGACUGCCUGCGUAAGCAGUGAGGAAGGUGGGGAUGACGUCAAAUCAUCAUGGCCUUUAUGCCCAGGGCUACACACGUGCUACAAUGGUGAGGACAAUGGGUAGCGACACAGUGAUGUGAAGCCAAUCUCAAAAACCUCAU
rnacentral:rRNA from 1 species